GCAUCCUUUACCCUGUCUGGCCUAUGGUUGACUCUACACUGCCUCCCCCCCCUCCUCCCCCACUCCGUUCUCUUCCCCACUGGGCCCCUCUGUCUCCCCAGCAAAUGAACAGGGAGAAACCUACUUUAUACGUUGAAAUUGCUGAAUGAGGCAAUACUUCCUACAGGUUCAGAAAGGGAGUGUGUGCGCUUUGACUUUGAGCUGUUUUUAAAUAAAAAGCUACUUUUUCCACGCCUUUUUGCUGGGGGGAAUCUGAAGCUGUAACAAACUUGUGUCACAAUAAAGGGUUACCUGAACUUACUGCCAGGCUCAGACUCUCAUUGAAGGCUUUGAGCUUCAAAUGGUUUUUGUUUUAAACCGGUUGAUUUCUUUCAGCUUCCUGCACUAAGUUUCCAAUGUCGUGUAUCAGAUGGAGCAGUGAAUGAGUAGCUAGUAUCGUUGGAAAUUGCAAAUAUUUCAGGAGUGCAGGGAACUCGGGACGACCGGAAGGUGUCUUGUCCUCCUGCCAAUCAGAGCACCGCUAUUGUCUGAAUUCGGAAGUUGGAUAAUGAGCUUCUGAAGCCCCUGCUGCUGCUCCUGUCUCUCUGAAUGAAGAUUGAGCUUUACCCCAAACUGCAACUUUCUUCCUCUGUCCAACAACUAGUAUUUGAAGAUCUGAAGACGGAAGUUU